UACGAAGGGAGCUAGCGUUGCUCGGAAUUACUGGGCGUAAAGGGCGCGUAGGCGGAUGUUUAAGUCAGAGGUGAAAGCCCAGGGCUCAACCUUGGAAUUGCCUUUGAAACUGGACAUCUUGAGUACGGGAGAGGUGAGUGGAACUCCGAGUGUAGAGGUGAAAUUCGUAGAUAUUCGGAAGAACACCAGUGGCGAAGGCGACUCACUGGCCCGUUACUGACGCUGAGGCGCGAAAGCGUGGGGAGCAAACAGG
rnacentral:rRNA from 1 species